rnacentral:rRNA from 1 species
UAAUACGUAGGUGGCAAGCGUUGUUCGGAUUUAUUGGGCGUAAAGCGAGCGCAGGCGGUUUCUUAGGUCUGAUGUGAAAGCCUUCGGCUUAACCGGAGAAGUGCAUCGGAAACCAGGAGACUUGAGUGCAGAAGAGGACAGUGGAACUCCAUGUGUAGCGGUGAAAUGCGUAGAUAUAUGGAAGAACACCAGUGGCGAAGGCGGCUGUCUGGUCUGUAACUGACGCUGAGGCUCGAAAGCAUGGGUAGCGAACAGGAUUAGAUACCCUGGUAGUCCAUGCCGUAAACGAUGAGUGCUAAGUGUUGGAGGGUUUCCGCCCUUCAGUGCUGCAGCUAACGCAUUAAGCACUCCGCCUGGGGAGUACGACCGCAAGGUUGAAACUCAAAGGAAUUGACGGGGGCCCGCACAAGCGGUGGAGCAUGUGGUUUAAUUCGAUGCUACGCGAAGAACCUUACCAGGUCUUGACAUCUUCUGCCAACCUAAGAGAUUAGGCGUUCCCUUCGGGGACAGAAUGACAGGUGGUGCAUGGUUGUCGUCAGCUCGUGUCGUGAGAUGUUGGGUUAAGUCCCGCAACGAGCGCAACCCUUAUUGUUAGUUGCCAGCAUUUAGUUGGGCACUCUAGCAAGACUGCCGGUGACAAACCGGAGGAAGGUGGGGAUGACGUCAAAUCAUCAUGCCCCUUAUGACCUGGGCUACACACGUGCUACAAUGGACGGUACAACGAGUCGCGAAACCGCGAGGUCAAGCUAAUCUCUUAAAGCCGUUCUCAGUUCGGAUUGCAGGCUGCAACUCGCCUGCAUGAAGUUGGAAUCGCUAGUAAUCGUGGAUCAGCAUGCCACGGUGAAUACGUUCCCGGGCCUUGUACACACCGCCCGUCACACCAUGAGAGUUUGUAACACCCAAAGCCGGUGAGGUAACCUUCGGGGACCAGCCGUCUAAGGUGGGACAGAUGAUUAGGGUG